AGCUUGCUCCACCGAAGAAAAGAGUGGCGAACGGGUGAGUAACACGUGGGUAACCUGCCCAUCAGAAGGGGAUAACACUUGGAAACAGGUGCUAAUACCGUAUAACACUAUUUCCGCAUGGAAGAAAGUUGAAAGGCGCUUUGCGUCACUGAUGGAUGGACCCGCGGUGCAUUAGCUAGUUGGUGAGGUAACGGCUCACCAAGGCAACGAUGCAUAGCCGACCUGAGAGGGUGAUCGGCCACACUGGGACUGAGACACGGCCCAGACUCC
rnacentral:rRNA from 1 species